UCAGGCGGCCCGCCUGAGUGAAACAAGCAAGUUAAUGCGGGCCGCGAGCCACCUGUGGAUACGUUUCCUGACAUGAAGAUUCAGGCGGCCCGCGUGCAUGUAGCCUGAAUCCUAAUGCGGGUCGCGUAAGGACCCCAGAUGCAGAAACUUUGGACAGACUUGCUGUUUGAGCUUGUGAACGAUCAUAGAGGCAAUUAAUGAAGCAUGGGCGCCCUCUACAUGCCCCCUACACCCAGGGCCACCUGCUGAACAUCCAUGAUCCCUUGUAGGUUGAGUUGUAAGGAUCCUAUGCCAAAUUUUUCACUAUAAAAGGCAAGGCAUUGUGCACAAAUAAAACACACCUCAAAUCUGCAUUCUAGUCCAUCUCUGGAGCUCUAAAGCACUCUUCUAUCAUCCUUAGUCGUGCACCAAGCUUCUGUAAGUGUGUCUACCCUUUGGUGGCUUUGUUUUUGCUUAGUUUAGCUUAAAAGUCAAUCCGUCGUAAUUAACGAUUGACUUUGCGAUAAAUCAUAAAUGGUCCAGUGGUUUGUCGAAUCAAAGAUAGUUAUAUGUUGGUAAUCGUGUGGGCUUUAAACCCCUAAAAGGGCACCCUCUGAUUCCCACUCUAACUAGUCCAAAUGUCGAGUCUAACGUGCUUAGAAAAAGUCAACAGAAAUGCUAUUUUACGAUUUCUUGCAUAAUCGGUAACGUAGAUGAUAUGCAAUCUGUUUAAACACUCAUGAAACAUGAUAAUAAGUAUAUUAACUAGUCU
rnacentral:lncRNA from 1 species